GAGUAUGCCCCCCACACCUGGC
rnacentral:piRNA from 1 species